rnacentral:rRNA from 1 species
AGAGUUUGAUCCUGGCUCAGGAUGAACGCUGGCGGCGUGCUUAACACAUGCAAGUCGAACGGAGUUAUGAGAAGAGAGUGAGGUGCUUGCACCAAGUGAUCAUUUUGUAACUUAGUGGCGGACGGGUGAGUAACGCGUGGGUAACCUGCCAUAUACAGGGGGAUAACACUUAGAAAUAGGUGCUAAAACCGCAUAAGCGCACAGCUUCGCAUGAAGCAGUGUGAAAAACUCCGGUGGUAUAUGAUGGACCCGCGUCUGAUUAGCCAGUUGGCAGGGUAACGGCCUACCAAAGCGACGAUCAGUAGCCGGCCUGAGAGGGUGAACGGCCACAUUGGGACUGAGACACGGCCCAAACUCCUACGGGAGGCAGCAGUGGGGAAUAUUGCACAAUGGGGGAAACCCUGAUGCAGCGACGCCGCGUGAGUGAAGAAGUAUUUCGGUAUGUAAAGCUCUAUCAGCAGGGAAGAAAAUGACGGUACCUGAGUAAGAAGCCCCGGCUAACUACGUGCCAGCAGCCGCGGUAAUACGUAGGGGGCAAGCGUUAUCCGGAUUUACUGGGUGUAAAGGGAGCGUAGACGGUGAUGCAAGUCUGGUGUGAAAACCCGGGGCUCAACCCCGGGAUUGCAUUGGAAACUGUGUGACUGGAGUGCAGGAGAGGUAAGCGGAAUUCCUAGUGUAGCGGUGAAAUGCGUAGAUAUUAGGAGGAACACCGGUGGCGAAGGCGGCUUACUGGACUGUAACUGACGUUGAGGCUCGAAAGCGUGGGGAGCAAACAGGAUUAGAUACCCUGGUAGUCCACGCCGUAAACGAUGAUUAAUAGGUGUCGGGAGACAAAGUCUUCCG